CAUCGCUUCAUAGUACAGCCGUUCUAGAGAUUACCAAAAACCCUCACUCUCUCAUCCCUCACGGCCUGCCACCGAAGCCGGCUUCGUCAACCUCACCGACCACCCACUGGUUUUACGGCCUACGGUGGAGUGGGGAUUUGAACUCGGGCGUACCUGCUCGAGGAGCUGGGUGCUCUAUCAACUAGGCCAGUUAUUCUUAUAUUGGAGCGCCUUUUAAGGAGGUCAGAAUUCAGAGCAGAUACUGUAAUUGGGGCAAGGAUGUCUGAGGUUGGAUAUGCUCAUCUAAAGGAAGAAAUUGGUCAUGAUGUCAUAGCAACAUUGGCAGAGAUUCUUUGUUAUGAUGACAAACCUCUAUUUCUCUCUUUUAUGAAGGAGCUAUUUCAAAGAAAAGUACCAAAAACAGAAGAAGUUAGAAAGAAGGAAUCAUCUGAUUAUCAAGCUAAAUAUUGCCCACCAAAAAUUUUGCAUGGAAUUUGUAAGUCUGGCGUAAUAGAUUGUGCCAUCGCUUUUCUCGGAGGGGAGACCGGUUUCAUCGCUGAUCUCAAUAUUCCCUUUAACGAUGGAUUAUAUCCAUUGCAUUUAGCAGCUAAUGGUUUAUCAUAUGAAAUGAUUGCGACAUUGCUUAGCCAUGGAGCUCAGACUGAUGUCAGAACCAUAGAGGGUAAAUUUAGGGGCGACUUGUUUCCUCUCAAUGUAUCACUUGAAACAGUAAGAAAGUACCAUUAGAAAUUAAUAGGUUGCUGGCAUGGAACACAAAGGAGGUUGAUAAAAUAUUUAUUCAUUAUGCUAUGGAGGGAGAACUUAUUGAGAUGGCUACUCUACUGAUGGUUGCUCGAGAAAAGUUAAUCCCUUUGAGCAUGUCAAUACGCAAAAGCAUCAUUGAAGAGAUUGUAGGACUAACUGAAGAUGAAAUCAAAUUGAUCGGAAGUCACAAGAAUGAUAAGUUGGUUGAAGAGAUUGUAGGACUAACUCAAGAUGAAAGCAAGUUGCUCGGAAUUAAUAAGAUUGGUAAGUUGGUUCGGUCGCUUAACGAUAUUAAGGCAGCGAUGACGCGGGGAAUAUUGUUGCUCAAAGUGUUUGAGAAGGCUGGUGUUGCUCUUGAAAAAUACAGGCAGUUAGUACAGAGUGAAAUGCCAAAAGAAAAGGUGGUCAACGACAUUAAGGCGCUGCUUGAGAGAGCCGGGUUUGUUAUAAACGACAAAGAUGUUGAUUUAAGUGACAUUGACUGGUUUGGCACCUAAUUACUUUGUUCAGUUGAUCAGUGAAAAUUUUGUAUCUUCUUAUCUCUCUUUCUUUAGGUGAUUUGAUUGUGAAUAAGCUUUAGUAUUCUAAUGCAUGUUUAUUUUUUCGUGACAUUAAAAUGCCAUAGUGAAAGUGAAAGUAUCAAAGAGGCAACGGAAGAAUUAGAAGAGAGUUUAACAUUGAGGUCUUAUUCAAAGGAUCUCUGGAUGCCACCUCCCUCACUGUCUAACAGUUUUUCCAAGGAAAAGAGUUCGGUCAUAUAUAAAACUUUUAGAACAUUCAUCGAAUAUGGGCCCCUUGUUUUUACACCUUCGUCACGGUCAUACGUUACAUUCCCGCUCAUGGAUAAAAAGACAAAUCGUGUUGCUAUAAGUGUUAACUUUUCGAGAACCCCUAGACCCCCAGCAAUGAUAGUAUCUGCGGCAUAUCUUCUAUCAAGAAAUCAGUUUGCCUCCUUGGCAUUAGCAAUCAAGAAGAGGUUAACUUGCAUAUGAUUGGCAAAUAAGGUUAUUCUUAUAUUGGAGUGCCUUUUAAGGAGGUCAGAAUUCAGAGCAGAUACUGUAAUUGGGGCAAGGAUGUCUGAGGUGUAAUUGUGUUGAAAAACCCUAUGGCACCACUACAGCAAGGGAGAUUACAGCAGAGGAUCGGGGCUCCCUUUUUCUUACUUAUAUUACUGUUGGAUAUGCUCAUCUAAAGAAGAAAUUGUUUGUUAUGAUGACAAACCUCUAUUUCUCUCUUUUAUGAAUGAGCUAUUUCAAAGAAAAGUACCAAAAACAGAAGAAGUUGGAAAGAAGGAAUCAUCUGAUUAACAAGCUAAUAGUUUAUCAUAUGAAAUGAUUGCGACAUUACUUUGCCAUGGAGCUCGGACUGAUGCAGAACCAUAGAGGGUGAAUUUAGGGGCGACUUGUUUCCUCUCAACGUAUCACUUGAAACAGUAAGUUAUCAUCGAUCCUUGAUUGAUUGGACCCCAAAACAAUCUAUCUUCAAGUUGAUCGUUGUUCUUUUGUCUGCCUCAAAUGAAAGUACCAUUAGAAAUUAAUAGGUUGCUGGCAUGGAACACAAAGGAAGUUGAUAAAGUAUUUAUUCAUUAUGCUAUGGAGGGAGAACUUAUUGAGAUGGCUACUCUACUGUUGGUUGCUCGAGAAAAGUUAACCCUUUGAGCAUGUCAAUACUCAAAAGCAUCAUUGAAGAGAUUGUAGGACUAACUGAAGAUGAAUUCAAAUUGAUCGGAAGUCACAAGAAUGAUAAGUUGGUUGACGAGAUUGUAGGACUAACUCAAGAUGAAAGCAAGUUGCUCAGAAUUAAUAAGAUUGGUAAGUUGGUUCGGUCGCUUAACGAUAUUAAGGCAGCGAUGACGCCGGGAAUAUUGUUGCUCAAAGUGUUUGAGAAGGCUGGUGUUGCUCUUGAAAAAUACAGGCAAUUAGUACAAAGUGAAAUUCCAAAAGAAAAGGUGGUCAACGACAUUAAGGCGCUGCUUGAGAGAGCCGGGUUUGUUAUAAACGACAAAGAUGUUGAUUUAAGUGACAUUGACUGGUUUGGCAGCUAAUUACUUUGUUCAGUUGAUCGGUGAAAAUUUUGUAUCUUCUUAUCUCUCUUUCUUUAGAAGAGAGUUUAACAUUGAGGUCUUAUUCAAAGGAUCUCUGCAUGCCACCUCCCUCACUGUCUAACAGUUUUUCCAAGGAAAAGAGUUCAGACACAUGUAAAACUAUUAGAACAUUCAUCCAAUAUGGGCCCCUUGUUUUUAUGCCUUCAUCACGGUCAUACUUUACAUUCCCACUCAUGGAUAAAAAAAAGACACAUCCUAUUCCCAUAGGUGUUAAAUAUUCGAGAACUGGUAGACCCCCAGCAAUGAGAGUAUCUGCGGCAUAUCUUCUAUCAAGAAAUCAGUUUGCCUCCUUGGCAUUAGCAAUCAAGAAGAGUAUAACUUGCAUAUGAUUGGCAAAUAAGUCAAUGGACUCAUGAUUGCACUGGGGGUUGACUUGGCCACUGUUUGAAUUGUAAAUGGAAGCUGUUAUAAGGGCACUAAAGGCCGUGCAUUUUCUUAAGAAGCAAAGCUGAGAGGCUUAUGCAAGUGACAAAUAAAAUACAGAAGAUCCUUCUUCUACUCAUGAUGCCGUGUUUUAUAGUUGUUAUUUUAUUAUUUAUUUGAGUUCUAAUCUCUCAACUUUGGCUGAGAGGAAGCCUUAGUAAGUUAGUCUUGUAACUCUAUGUUUUCAAUUGUUAAAUUUGUUUGAUGUUCAUACUAACUCAAUAAAAUAUUUAAACAAUUUUAAAUGCAUGUUCCAGUUUGUUAA